AGUAAAUUUAACAGUGUUGAUUUUCCAGUGUUACUAUAAAGUGUUAAAAUAAAGUGUUGGAUCAACACUGAACAGAAUGGGUCUAACACCAGAAGUGUCAGGUUUCAAAUAAGAGUUGGUGUUACUUUACAUAGUUGCAGACGUCAACUCUCAUUCAGAGUUAAUCAGGCCACACCUCCAUUAACGUGCAGACAGACGUCAAUUUUCAUCGAAACAGACCACAUGCGGACGCCAUUUUACUUCGCUGGAAGCGUGGUGCCAGGAGUUCAGGUGCUUAAUCACAAUGAUUGUCAAAGCACAAUUUCGGAAUAGGAAGAAAUUCAUAAAAAUCUCAGAGGCGUGCUUUGAUUUAUUUCUAGCAGAGGUGAAAGAGAAGUUCUCAAUUCCAGACGAGCUUGCUGUUACAGUUACAGAUGAAACUGGUACAGAGGUGGAUAAAGAUGUGUUUCCUGAUCUAAUGUCCACCAGUGGGUUGGUUUUAGUCAUAAAUGAGUUGACUGACAUGGGAUCUUCCACACCUCAGUCUUCAGUAAGCUUGGAUACAGAUACACUGUCUCUAACUUCAAAAAGCAGUGAAGAGAGUGACUGGUUUAGUCCAAAACGAUUCAGAAAGGAUGAAGAUGAUGAUGUGGCAUCACAACGAGCACAGGCCAGAGAUCUGAUAUAACAAAUUCUACAGACAAGACCAGGUGGAGGAAAUGUGCUUAAGGAGUAUGAAGAUACAGGCACAAUUAGUGAUGACACAAGGAAAGUGAUGGUGAACAUCUUAGUUGCACACAUGAUGGAGACAGAAGGAAGGGUCCCACAUCGACUUACCAAACAGAAGUAUGGAUUGGGAAUUAUCACCUUAUUUCCCUCACUCAGAGAUCCCCAAGGAAGGACUGGAUAUGAACAUUUCUAUGAUGGCCAAAAAAACACUGGAUUCUUGUCAUGGCGCCUCAAGACAGUACAAAGGGGAACAAGACCUUCUGGAAAUAAGGAAGAUCCAAAAACGGAAGAAAAGGGAGGUCCUUUGCUUGACAGACAGCUAUGUUACCAAGAACAUCAGCUAGAUAAUGAUCAAAGUGUAGAGGCCAUCUCUUUGAUGAAUCAUACAAGUGAACGUGAGGUCAUCAUGCAGAAGAUGAAGGCAACGUUUGAAUACAGACAGCGCCUUGUCCAUGAUCCAGAGGGAUCCACCACCAUUCUCUCUGUUUUUCCUCGGUUCCUGGACACUAAAGGAUUGGUAUGGAUUUUCUUUCAUUUUUUACUAAAAUUUAAAUGUUAGUAUCAGAGAACUGUCAAAUGGUCUGCAUUGUUGAAACUGGCCACAUUAUUGUAAUCACAAUAUAUUGUAAUUUCUUUGUGUUUUCUUCAAAACUUCAGAUUUUUCAGGACUUCACACUCCUCUUUGGGUCAGAAACUGCUUCCAGACUUUUGGAAAGGUGGCCGACAGGUUUCAAAGCAAAGGUUAUCAGACUAGGAGAAACCUUGACUCCCACUCCACUGCUGAAACGAUUACUGUCAUCUGCCAAACAGAGCAAAGAAAGCAGCGAGGCACAGGAUUCCCCAGAGUGGGACAGUGAUAUAUCAUCCUUCCUUCUACUUUUGCAUCUCCUAUCACCCCAGGCUUCAGGAAGAAAGAAAAUCCAAAGGAUCAGUAUUUCACAGGCUAUUGACCAUCUGGUGGUGUUUCACAAAGCAUGCAGGAGCAUACAGGAACACCUUGAGCUGGAAGAGAAUCGUCAGCCAUACAUUCUUGCCUCGGGGAGCAGCAAGGAAGCCAUCAGUCACUACUUCAUUGUGGUGGAUAAAAAGCUCAUCCCCUGUCAAGAAUCCUCUUCACUGGCUGCCAUUGAUGAACUCUUCAAGGUUCAUUUUGUUUUCAGUCUCAGUUAUGAUAGCCAUUGCCUAUCACUGGGAGUCAUGUACUUUUAGGGGUAUUGAGUCUGGCCCUGUUUCAAAUGAGCUGUUGUCUGACCUUGAAAACUCUGAUUUUAUUUCAGAGCAACUCCAGAUUGAUAUCUCUAGCGAGGUAAUGGUCACACCGUGGGUAAAGUGUCAAGGUACUGAGUAUCGCAGUGAUCUUGUUGUUUUCUUAGAGUUUGUUGAUGAUGCACCUGUUUUUGGAAAGAUUGUUAAAAUUUUUAUUAAGGAUGGAAUUUAUUUUUUGGUAUCGUGUAUGGAAUCAGAGUUUAUUGAACACCUUCAUGCUUUCAGUGUUGUUGAACAUGAGCAUUGUCUUGUACUCAAAAAACCUGAGGAAUUGAUGUACUACAAGCCAUUUGAUUUACAAAUGUCCUAUGGCAAUGACCAUCUUUUUUACAUUGUCAUGGACUGUUAUUUGUAAUAAUUUCAUGGCAUUUAUGGUUUCUUGCUCUGUGCUGAAAUAAAGUUUUGAAACCUU